GACGAACGCUGGCGGCGUGCUUAACACAUGCAAGUCGAACGCUGAAGCUCAGCUUUUGUUGGGUGGAUGAGUGGCGAACGGGUGAGUAACACGUGAGUAACCUGCCUCCUUCUUUGGGAUAACGCCCGGAAACGGGUGCUAAUACUGGAUAUUCACUGGUCUUCGCAUGGGGGUUGGUGGAAAGGGUUUUUCUGGUGGGGGAUGGGCUCGCGGCCUAUCAGCUUGUUGGUGGGGUGAUGGCCUACCAAGGCUUUGACGGGUAGCCGGCCUGAGGGGGUGACCGGUCACAUUGGGACUGAGAUACGGCCCAGACUCCUACGGGAGGCAGCAGUGGGGAAUAUUGCACAAUGGGCGCAAGCCUGAUGCAGCGACGCCGCGUGAGGGAUGGAGGCCUUCGGGUUGUGAACCUCUUUCGCUAAUGGUCAAGCCGCAACAAUGGUUGUGGUGAGGGUAGUGGGUAAAGAAGCGCCGGCUAACUACGUG
rnacentral:rRNA from 1 species